rnacentral:misc_RNA from 1 species
CCUAGAGUUGUAGGCUUUGCCUGCUAUCUCUUACCCAUGUCUUUUGAGUACCUUCGUUUCCCUCGGCGGGUCCGCCCGCCGAUUGGACAAUUUAAACCAUUUGCAGUUACAAUCAGCGUCUGAAAAAACUUAAUAGUUA